CAUUGGGAUAGCUUGCUAUUCAGAUGGCGACCGGCGCACGGGUGAGGUAACGCGUAUCCAACCUUCCUGCCAGUAGGGAACAGCCCGGCGAAAGUCGGAUUAAUGCCCUAGUGUUCUUCAAUGCGGACAUCUAAGUUGAAGGAAAGAUUCAUCGCUGGCAGAUGGGGAUGCGUCCGAUUAGCUUGCCGGCGGGGUAACGGCCCACCGGGGCGACGAUCGGUAGGGGUUCUGAGAGGAAGGUCCCCCACACUGGUACUGAGACACGGACCAGACUCCUACGGGAGGCAGCAGUGAGGAAUAUUGGUCAAUGGGCGUAAGCCUGAACCAGCCAAGUAGCGUGCAGGGAAUGACGGCCCUACGGGUUGUAAACUGCUUUUAUGCGGGGAUAAAGUGCGGCACGUGUGCCGCUUUGCAGGUACCGCAUGAAUAAGGACCGGCUAAUUCCGUGCCAGCCGCAGC
rnacentral:rRNA from 1 species